rnacentral:misc_RNA from 1 species
UUCUCACACACAAUUUUCCCAUCUCGAGAAGCCAACACCACUCCUCCGGAGCAAGAUGGACCAUGCAUAUUAUGAUGUGAUGGAGCAGGAGGAAGGUGGAUUUCAUCAACUAUGAUCUCAGGUUGAUGGACGCUUGCCUUCUCUGCGUAUUCUUCCUUUACUCCCUCCAGUACAUGUUCAACCAGAUGUACAUCAUGUUUCCGACAACGCAGAAGGACACAAGGCUCUUUAAGCCUAAGCAAACUCUGAACAAUAAGAUCAUGCAGAAGCUUCUUAUAACCGCCGUGGUGGUGGUGAAGAAUAGAAUCUAUGAUGCCGUGCUCAUGAUGGCUAACAUUUAAGAGCUCCUUUGCUGCUGCCUCCUUCAUGGUGUUAACCAAGUCGUCCUGAGCUUGAAGAACUUUGAUUCGAGAGGCAUUGAGUUGCAUGGAGUACUCAAUCUUCUUGCGAACAUCCACUUGUUUCUCUUUGCGUUCGUACUCUUGUCUGAUCUUCUUCUUCUCUGCUUCCACUAGCUGCAACUUCUCAAUGUUGAAUUCUUCUUCGGCGGAGACGGAGAUCUCAUUGGCUUUU